UGGGACGUCGCCAAGCGGUAAGGCAGCGGAUUUUGAUUCCGCCAUGCGGAGGUUCGAAUCCUCCCGUCCCAG
rnacentral:tRNA from 1 species